UAAGCCACAGUCUAUCGAUCGCUAAUCUGCCCCGCAGUAAUAAUAAAAAAAAGAAAACAGCCUGCCCGCACGAUCUCCUCCUUCUCCGGCACGACCUCCUCCUCCUCCUCCCACAGCCGCGCCGUUCGCCUCCUGCAGCCGCGCCCUUCACAGCCUCCUCGCGCAGCCGGAGCCACGGGAAGCGGCCGCGGGUCGCCGGGAGCCUCCCCAGCCGCGGGAGCCCGCCCCCGCUGCGGGUCGCCGGGAGCCUCCCCUGCCGCCCCCUUCGCCGCCUCCCCAGCCGCAGCUUGGCCGCUGCCACACCGCCUCCGCCACGCCGCCACUCCGCGGGCCACGCCUCGAUUCCUUCAUCCUCUUCCCGAGCCGCUGGCGUCCGUCACGCGCCCCCUACUCUUCUCCUCCAACCUGGCCAGUCCCCACACCCGGAGCCCCUGCGGAUCGAGGCGUCUUCCACGCAGAGGACGACGCGGGGAACCUCCAUUGCCCUCCAUUCUGACGGCCGCCCUACAGCUGCCCCGACACGAUGGUUCUCCUCUAUUGUUCUGAUCGAGCGACGUGUUCAUUUUUUAUAUUUUUUCUGUGGCAGAUCAUGACGACGACCCUGACAGGAGAGGAGGAGGAGGACACGGAGAAGAAGGACCGAGAGUUAGACAUGGAUGUGCAUUAUGAGGCAACACGCCGCCGUGUUUGCCCCACCAUCUUCUGAUCUCUUCAGCAUUCCUGUUGUCUUGGGUUUUCUCUGUAAGUUUGGGUCCGUAGGCACACACCCUCAUAAUCUCUGUCGCUCCCUCUAAUUUCUGUGGACAUACAGACACACGCAGUGUUUAGAACGAUGUCCGCUUCAGAGUUUCAGUUCAACUCACCCAGACAGAAAUACAUUCUAUCACUGGCUAAGCAUAGUACGAACUGGGUGGACAUGGAGUCAAGGACAUGGUAAGGAAGUCAAGCAAGUGGUUGAUUUGCUCUCUUCUUCGUUUCACCAUGCUGCACCCCUUCUAGCUUAUUAGUCGCCUCUUUCAUCUCUUUUCACUGUACUAACCUGCCAAUAUUUUCCCAUCUUUGCAACGAUUGACAUGUUUAGUUUUAGUUUUACAGUAGACCAGAAUGUAUGCUGAUCUACAGUGAUUCUUAAUUGUACAUGGUCUUCUCAACUUCAAGGUCAUAACCGAUUCAGUUUUGUUUAUAAUCUAUUUUCCCUAUCACUUUUUAACUCUUGAAUUCGCCAGGCCAACCAUCCUACAGUAGUGUAGGAAUUCAGUUAGCACGUCAUAACAUGUUAUUCUCUUUCGAUAAUGCUUUUGUUGGAUUUUUUAGGAACAAGGUGGCGAAAAAAUAAGUGGUUGUGGAAGCAAUGGUUUGUUUGGGGAGGUGGAGAACGUUUUUAUGUUAUUUUUGGUAGGCAUGAAGACACCCAUUUCUAUUUGUUCAUAGUAAUUCACUCCAGGCUUCUGAUUGGAUCAUUACAUUGAUGUUCCAGCUGCUGGGCUACAUGGAGUUGUUUUUGUUUAAAACAUAUGAUCUUGACGCUACCCAUUUUUCCCUGUCAACAUUAGCUUUCUCUCUGCCAUUCAGAAUUGUUCAGGACAAAACCAUGCAGAUAUAGACCUUUAGUAUCCUUCUCAUUGAUGAAAUUUAUUUCCAUCUAUCCAGUAG
rnacentral:rRNA from 1 species